GUCCCUUGGAGGCACCUCUUCAGGCAGAGACGAGUGGUGGUACAGGCAGAGACGAGUGGUGGUACCCAGCUCAGAACCAGAUGUCAAGGGUUGAAGUAUUUACUCCCACAGACAAUGUAAUUCUGACCUUUUCCAUCUACUCUCCUGCCUUCCAAUGCCUGGUUUCUUUCCUGCUCUUACCUGUCACUUUCAACCUCCCAUAUUCCUACUUUGCUGAGGAGACAAGUCUUUCACACUUGGAGGAAAAGAUAAUUGAUAGUCUGUCAAAUGACAUCCUCAGCAAAGGUUUCUGUAGCACACAGACAGAAGGAUGGAAGGUCAUCUCUAGAGACCUGCCUGGCAAGCCUCUUCAUCUUAGGCCUAGACUCUUUCCUGUCAUGGAUCCACAAAGGUUGUGUGCACUGUCUGUUUGAAACUGAGUCACAUCAUGCCAGGGAAGAGGAAAAAAAGUCCUUCAAAGUUCCCAGGAGAACAAUUUUUGUCCAGGAAACCAUGGACACAGCUCUGGCACGUCUCAGUCCAAUGUGACUUCCCUCUGACUCUGGUUGGAGUUUGCUGUCCAGGGGAGACAAGGGGAAACAUUUUAAGUUAGGGUGAGUUUAGGGACAUAUGUUGGAAGACCAGGCAUACAUCUCUGUGGGAAUAUCCAUGGGCAAAAAAAGCCAAAACCCUCCUAAAGUGGGAGAACUUGCUUCAUCAUUUAUUUACAUGCUUCAGCACUUGCAUUUUGAUGAGGGCUUAGAUAUUUUGUGUAUUAGCCAGAACCAACACAGCAGAGGGCUCUUCUAAACUGUUGAUGAUGUCAUUGAGGGGCUUUGUGUCUACUUGUGAUUUUCCAUUUAUUUGAGUUUUCUUUGAGAUGUGAACCUAAAAUCUGGCACUCAUGGGCACCAUGUGACUUUGAGGUGGUCUUGGGAGCACAGCUUCUCCAUAAAACAAUGUCUUGAUCCCAUCCAAGCACAGAUGUUUGUUUGUUUGUCUAUGACAGGUGUAGUAUCAGUGAUACUUGCUUGUUGAGCCAUCCAAGUCAUGCUUUAAUGGAAAUUCUUUAAAGUAGUUAAAAAUAGUUCAUUGUAGUACACUGGUUCAGAAAAUACUGCAGUAAAACCUUUGGAAUAGAGACUUAAUGACAGAAAUAAGUGAAUUAUGUGUGGAGGGGAAAUGGAAAGCAUGUUUUCUGGCAUAUUGCAGUGGUUACUAAGCCUUAUGGCUUUCUCAGCAGUCUCAGGAUGUAUUUUUUUCCUUAAAAGCUGCUGGAAGAAAGACAUAAGAAACUCCAUUUUCUAAUUAAAAAAAAAAAAAGUUCUAACUCUCAAGGUUGCUUAGAAAAACAUGAAAACAUGAGCUGAAUGUUCCAGAUAGGAUGUUGAAAUCAAAACCAAACAGGAUGGAAAACUUGGUUCAUAGCUUUAUACUCCAGACAGCAAACAAACAGCCUUAGAUUGGCUUAGAAAUUCUGCAGUUUGGAAAUGUAUCAAUGUCAUACUUUUGAGACCUGACUGCAGGCAUGAAGGCACAUGUGAUUUUGAAAUCAGGGUGUAGUCUCUUUUUUUGUUAGACAAUAUUGACUUUCAUUAGAAGUAAAUACUUCUGUAAAAUAAAAGAUUUUUAAAAAAUAUUUCUCUGGUGAGA
ensembl:lncRNA